CAUAAGAUCCAUAAAUAAACAAAGGGGCUAUUGCGUUCUUACCCUUAUUUAGAAGUCUAAUUGUAAUUUUACCCUCGUUUUUGUCACCGUUGCGAUUUUACCCUUGCUUUGUGAAAACGAAGCUUCAGUUUACCCUUAUACCGUGAAUAGCGGGGUAACGGUGUUAAAUGGGCUCGGUAAGGACAAGUUUGCCCUUGCGAAAAUGCCCCUACUUUUCUGAGUAUAUUGUGAUUUUACCCCUACUUUUAACUUUGUUAGUUUUUGUGCAAUAAAAUAAAUAAAAAACAAAAAAACCCUUCACAGGAAGACCAAAAGAUAAUAGGGUUAAAUGGAUCUAUGCCGUUAUAAUUAUAUUGUUUUUAAAGCACACCAUUACUAUUUGCCAAACUAUGCUAGUGCCAUUAUAAUUCUUGCAAAAGCUUAACUAUGUCAUUAUAUACGUCUGCGGCAACUUUGAGCCCACGUGCAGCUGUUUGGACCAUUUUGUAUUUUCAUAUGGACCAAAAUACCCCUCCACUCUCUCACUUACAGGUGGGCCUAAUGUGUCAUCCCCUUGGAUGAUGACAUGC
rnacentral:lncRNA from 1 species